CACUUUGGGAAGCCGAGGUGGGCAGAUCAUUUGAGCUGAGGAGUUCAAGACCAGCCUGGACAACAUGCUGAAACCCCAUCUCUACUAAAACUACAAAGAAUUAGCCAGGCAUGGUAGCACAUGCCUGUAGUCCCAGCCACUCAGGAGCCUAAGGCAGGAGAAUUGCUUGAACUUCCCCAGCUUCAAGAGGAAGAGUCUGCAGUGAGCCGAGAUGGCGCCACUGCACUCCAGCCUGGGUGACAAGAGUAAAACUCCCUCUCAAAACAAACAAACAAACCAAAAAAACAAAUAGCAACAGCAACCACAAUCAUCAUCACCAUCAAGGCUGGAACAAGGAUGAGGCAGGCAGGCUCUGAUAGCAACAGGAGGAAGCAGACCAAGGAGGGAGAGAAAGGAAGGCAGAGAAGGGGAAAAAAAAACACAAAUGAUAAUAAUAGAUGCUGACAUUUACGGAGCACUUACUAUGUGCUGGGAACCAUGCUGACGGCACACCGAAUCCACUGAACAGGUGGAUCUCUUUGGGUUUUGGAAUAACAAAAAAGGGACUGUACAUGGAUAUUUCCAAGCUGGAACCGAGGCACUUUCUAGACGAAGGCAGCCUUAUCCCCAGGAGAUGAUUGAAAAUGUAAGAACUAUUCUGAGCCUGCAGGCCAUAGCCAAAGAAAAAAGCAAAGCCAACUGUCAAACUGAAAAGCCAAAAUCAUCACAAAAACACCUAUUCUUCAGAGGCCUCAAAUCUCAAACUAUCUCCCACCAUCCUUGGACCUACUGUUAAGUUUUCAAGACCACCCAGAAAGAAAUUUGAAGUUGGGUUUAUAUCCUUAAUCCCUCAGUUAGAAAAAAAAGAAAAGUGAAGAAACUGCAUCUCCAAGAUCCUGCUAUAUCAACUUCAGUUUUUUGAAGUUAAAUUUGAUUUUUAAAUCGGCUGGCUGCAUGAACAUGGCCCAAUCAAAGGAUGCAACAGUCAAAUGCUUGUGUACAUCAUGUUACCUGUCCAUUUCCAUCAGAGACAUCAUGGACACAGCUGAAAUACUAGGCCUGGCCUUUGUUUCAGUACAAUCGCAGAUAUAUGCAAACCGUCACCACAGUCGAGAGAAGUCAAGAUAAAACAAGAGAACAGGAAGAGAAAGAAAAACAAAGAGAAGGAGAGAAGGAAAAGAGAAGAGAUUUGGAGGUACAUAUUCCAGGCCUGCUUAGCCUGUCAAUGACUCAUUGACAGUGAAAUCUACAGACAUAAAUGCCAUCAGCUGCUGGAUUCUUAUGGGAAGGGGGUAGGAUGUCAUGUAUAUGUGACACAGACGUCUGAAUAAAAGAAGAUCAUCUACGCAGGCUCAGAAAUAACAGCUACUUCUGGGAGCUUGAGAUAAAACAUUAA
rnacentral:lncRNA from 1 species